rnacentral:lncRNA from 1 species
GCUUAUGGUGGUAGACAAGAAGUGCAUAUUGUGGAGAAUCCAAUUAAUAUUCAUAAUAUAACAGGGCUCCCACAUCUCUUAAUUUCUCGGGAUCAAACUUGGCUUAAUGACUUUCCAUAAUCACGCGGGUUAGCAUAAGCUACCAUGGGUCAAGAUCGCCCCAGAGUGGUAUAGUUUGGGAUGGCAACGAAAAUAUUUUCAUUACCUUCAGUCAUAUUCGAAUUCGAAAUGACCGCAUAAUCGGAUCGGAAUGGCAAUAUAAUAAUGUCAUAAAACUCUGUUUGAAAUGUGAUGAUAUCGCGUCACUAUGAUGAUGGUGUUAAUUCGAGACAUAAAAUGUUCAUUAAAUCAACAUUAAAAUUGGAAACGAAAAGCCAAUAGAUCACAAUGCUAUAAUAAAUGAAUUAAAUUAUGUGAUAAAAUGAUACUUGUGCAUGAGUCAAUAUCAAUUGAUUAUUCAUUCGGCUUUCCAGUUGACCCCAUCAUGGAUAUUGGCCAGCCUGUCAGUAGGAUACCCAGAAUCUUUGGUACCCGGGGGGCAUUUUUGCCCCUCUUCUUCUUCCAAAAAACUCACAUGGUCUUAACUUUCAACGCACAUUAUUAUAUUAAAUAUAUAUCAUUAUAUAAUACGCACAUUAUAUAUCAUUAUAUAACGCACAUUAUUAUAUCAUAUAUCAUUUUCAGUUUUUAUUAUAUUAAAAACUGAAAAUGAUACAAAAAUUUUUAUACAAAUAUUUGGUGAAUA